UGAUGAUAAUGGACUGAACCUCUGAACCUAUGACGCUAGUUCAUGCUAAGUUGACAAAACUCUACCUUGGUGAAUGUUGGUCUGUGCUCCCAUUGUUUUGGGUAGUGAUGGAAGAGGCUGCUGUCUGAAACACCUUAGGGACUGUCCUUCAGAAGGGGUAAUCGUCUCAUCAAGCUGUCCAGAAAGCAAAGUCCAUAUCCUAGCCUUCAGAUGAACACCUAGAAUUCUCCUG